GGCCGCGGGAAUUAGAUUCAGGCUUAACAUAUGCAAGUCGAGCGGUAACAGGUUAAGUUGACGAGUGGAAAAAGGGUGAGUAAUACAUUGAAACGUGCCCAGUAGUGGGGGAUAUCCCGGCGAAAGCCGCGAUUAAUACGGCAUGCGGCAUAAGGGUGAAAGGGGGGGAUCGCAAGACCUCUCGCUAUUGGAGCGGCCGAUGUCAGAUUAGGUAGUUGGUGGGGUAAAGGCCCACCAAGCCGAUGAUGUGUAGCUGGUCUGAGAGGACGUCCAGCCACACUGGGACUGAGACGCGGCCCAGACUCCUACGGGAGGCAGCAGUGGGGAAUUUUGGACAAUGGGCGCAAGCCUGAUCCAUCCAAGGCGCGUGCGGGAAGAAGGCCUUCGGGUUGUACUCUUAAUGGGUCAGGGAAGAAAUCCUUUGGGUUAAUACCUCGGGGGGAUGACGGUACCUAAGAAUAGC
rnacentral:rRNA from 1 species